rnacentral:hammerhead_ribozyme from 1 species
AUCCAAUUGACGAGUCCUAAACAGGAUGAGACGCGUGUCCUGAAU